rnacentral:rRNA from 1 species
UUCCCCUUCGGGGGACAAAGUGACAGGUGGUGCAUGGUUGUCGUCAGCUCGUGUCGUGAGAUGUUGGGUUAAGUCCCGCAACGAGCGCAACCCUUAAGCUUAGUUGCCAUCAUUAAGUUGGGCACUCUAAGUUGACUGCCGGUGACAAACCGGAGGAAGGUGGGGAUGACGUCAAAUCAUCAUGCCCCUUAUGAUUUGGGCUACACACGUGCUACAAUGGACAAUACAAAGGGCAGCGAAAUCGUGAGGUCAAGCAAAUCCCAUAAAGUUGUUCUCAGUUCGGAUUGUAGUCUGCAACUCGACUACAUGAAGCUGGAAUCGCUAGUAAUCGUAGAUCAGCAUGCUACGGUGAAUACGUUCCCGGGUCUUGUACACACCGCCCGUCACACCACGAGAGUUUGUAACACCCGAAGCCGGUGGAGUAACCUUUUAGGAGCUAGCCGUCGAAGGUGGGACAAAUGAUUGGGGUGAAGUCGUAACAAGGUAGCCGUAUCGGAAGGUGCGGCUGGAUCACCUCCUUU